CAGCCGCCGCGGUAAUACGAAGGGGGCUAGCGUUGCUCGGAAUGACUGGGCGUAAAGGGCGCGUAGGCGGCGAUCAAAGUCAGGCGUGAAAUUCCUGGGCUCAACCUGGGGGCUGCGUUUGAUACUUGGUUGCUAGAGUGAGGAAGAGGGUCGUGGAAUUCCCAGUGUAGAGGUGAAAUUCGUAGAUAUUGGGAAGAACACCGGUGGCGAAGGCGGCGACCUGGUCCUUGACUGACGCUGAGGCGCGAAAGCAUGGGGAGCAAACAGGAUUAGAUACCCCUGUAGUCCCUGUCUCUUAUAC
rnacentral:rRNA from 1 species